GGUAGGGAGCCCAGUGGUAGAAUGCUCCUCUGCCACGCGAGCCGCACGAGUUCGAUUCCCGGCCGAUGCA